rnacentral:rRNA from 1 species
UGAAUCCAUAGGUUAAUGAGGCGAACCGGGGGAACUGAAACAUCUAAGUACCCCGAGGAAAAGAAAUCAACCGAGAUUCCCCCAGUAGCGGCGAGCGAACGGGGAGCAGCCCAGAGCCUGAAUCAGUAUGUGUGUUAGUGGAAGCGUCUGGAAAGGCGCGCGAUACAGGGUGACAGCCCCGUACACAAAAAUGCACAUGCUGUGAGCUCGAUGAGUAGGGCGGGACACGUGGUAUCCUGUCUGAAUAUGGGGGGACCAUCCUCCAAGGCUAAAUACUCCUGACUGACCGAUAGUGAACCAGUACCGUGAGGGAAAGGCGAAAAGAACCCCGGCGAGGGGAGUGAAAAAGAACCUGAAACCGUGU